GACGAACGCUGGCGGCGUGCCUAACACAUGCAAGUCGAACGGAACUCGGGACUUCGGUUCUGAGUUUAGUGGCGAACGGGUGAGUAACGCGUGAGGAACCUGCCUUUCAGUGGGGGACAACAGUUGGAAACGACUGCUAAUACCGCAUAAAUGUGUUUUGGGGGCAUCCCCGAGACACCAAAGCUUUAUGUGCUGAAAGAUGGCCUCGCGUCUGAUUAGAUAGUUGGUGAGGUAACGGCUCACCAAGUCUGCGAUCAGUAGCCGGUCUGAGAGGAUGAACGGCCACAUUGGGACUGAGAUACGGCCCAGACUCCUACGGGAGGCAGCAGUGGGGAAUAUUGGGCAAUGGGGGAAACCCUGACCCAGCAACGCCGCGUGAAGG
rnacentral:rRNA from 1 species